rnacentral:rRNA from 1 species
UACGUAGGGUGCAAGCGUUGUCCGGAAUUAUUGGGCGUAAAGAGCUUGUAGGUGGUUUGUCGCGUCCGCUGUGAAAUUUCGAGGCUCAACCUCGAACUUGCAGUGGGUACGGGCAGACUAGAGUGUGGUAGGGGAGACUGGAAUUCCUGGUGUAGCGGUGAAAUGCGCAGAUAUCAGGAGGAACACCGAUGGCGAAGGCAGGUCUCUGGGCCAUAACUGACACUGAGAAGCGAAAGCAUGGGGAGCGAACAGG